AGAACGAACGCUGGCGGCAUGCCUAAUACAUGCAAGUCGAACGAACACUUCGGUGUUAGUGGCGCACGGGUGCGUAACGCGUGGGAAUCUGCCCUUGGGUUCGGAAUAACAGUUGGAAACGACUGCUAAUACCGGAUGAUAUCGAAAGAUCAAAGAUUUAUCGCCCAGGGAUGAGCCCGCGUAGGAUUAGCUAGUUGGUGAGGUAAAGGCUCACCAAGGCGACGAUCCUUAGCUGGUCUGAGAGGAUGAUCAGCCACACUGGGACUGAGACACGGCCCAGACUCCGUACGGGAGCAGCAGUAGGGAAUAGUUGGACAAGUGGGCGCAAGCCUGACUCCAGCAAU
rnacentral:rRNA from 1 species